rnacentral:lncRNA from 1 species
UGGAGGUGGAGGUGGAGGUGCACCAGGUGGCUUGGUUACUGAAGAAACUGUUCCUUGACGUGGAGCUCCAGGAGGGGGAGGAGGGAGCGGCGGUGGUGGUGGUCCAGGGGUAGCACUGGCUUUAGUAGCCACGCCAAAUGGAGGUGGAGGUGGGGGUGGGGGUGGUGAACUCUUGGAAAAACUAGAAGUAGAAGCGAUGGGAGGUGGUGGUGGUGGUGGAGCACCUCUUGAAGAAACAGGUGGAGGUGGAGGCGGAGGUGGUGGUGGUGGUGGAGCACCUCUUGAAGAAACAGGUGGAGGUGGAGGCGGAGGUGGUGGUGGUGGUGGAGCACCUCUUGAAGAAACAGGUGGAGGUGGAGGCGGAGGUGGUGGUGGUGGUGGAGCACCUCUUGAAGAAACAGGUGGAGGUGGAGGCGGAGGUGGUGGUGGUGGUGGAGCACCUCUUGAAGAAACAGGUGGAGGUGGAGGCGGAGGUGGUGGUGGUGGAGGUGGCAGUGGUGGAAGGGUCUUUGUGGAGAUAGGAGGCAAAGUGGGAGGUGGUGCUAUAGCAUCAUCUAAACUAUCAACAGGAACAUGUUUUGGUGAUGCUAAAGAACCAUUCACAUUACUUAAAUCAGCACUUGUAGGGGUGGAGGUGGAAUCACCUGCAUCUGAUAUCUUAUGCUGCAGCUGCAAUGGAUCCUCCAAUGAUUUCCGAUCAGGUGUGCCAUCCGAAAUAGAAUCUCUAUAUGAAGCUUCAUCAUAAAAGCUCACUGUAGAUGCAGGUGUACACGUCAUAUCAUUACUCCUUUCAGAUUCCAAAAAAUCCAAACUAUCAGCAACACUCGAUGCAUUAUUUUCAUCCUCAGAGUCAAAAGGUGAAGAAUAAGUACUCAGUUUAUUCCUCAACAUUGACAACUCUUUCGCAUCAUUUAAAACAGAUAACUGUUUCACUAACCAUAAAGCAGUAUCAUCACCACCAUCACCCCAUUCAAUCCCAUUAAAAAGUUCUUGAACUUUGUUAAAAGCUUCUAUAGGCAAUCCACCUUUUUCUUCUCCAUUCAACAUUGUGGUUGGUGUUUUUGGUGAACAAAUGUUCUCAACAUCUCCAAAAAGAACCUCAGCUCUGAACCCUUUUGGAAACCGUGCCUUUGAGUCCCAUAAAGUGUCUAAAUUGUCACAAUUCAGCAUCAAAAUAUUGGAUCUGAUAAAAGCAGUGUUGAACAUUAUGCGAAACAUCAUAACUUCUCUUUCAGAAUCAAUGUCUAAAUGGAGACACUCUAAUACAACAUCACCUUCCACCAAACACUGAAUGUCAAUCUUUAUAACAUCGCUUUGUUUCUGCAUCAUAUCAUGCCUAUUUGUCAGCAAAUCCCAUAAAAAAAAAACUUAAAAUAGAAAAAAGAUGGAAAUAGAUUGCCUAAAGUAUGCAAAUUUAAAAUUUUUGGCAAUCAAAGUAUUGAUAUAAAUUUAGAAACAUGUAAGCUACUUGAAAGACAUCCUACAUAUGUGUAAGUAGAAUUUUCAAGAAGUGUCAAAAUGAAAACUGGUAUAAAAGGUGUUUUGAGCCUUUAUACACAUUUGAUUUGCUAAUGGAAUAUGUUUGGAUUAAAUAACAAUUUAUGGAAACAUUUUACAUCUAAAUGUUACCUGGCGAUAAUGCCUCAGAUUUCUACCUCUCCUGGGAGUGGAAUAUAACAUUUGUGUCAAAAGCCCAUCUUUACUUAAAAGAUUUCUCCCAUAGAUUCGAAUCACUGGUCUGCAUCCAUUUUUAUUGUCAAAAUUUGGAAUAGCACGCAAAAUGAGGCAAUCCAAAGACAAAGCUCUUUCAGGUGGGGGCCACUCCUCAGAUAAAUUUCUCCUUGAUAUGUAUUGAAGGUACCGAAGCUGUGAAGGGUACGGAUUUAAAGGUGACAAAAGUUGAGACAACCCUUUUGGGGCCUCACGAUAAACAAUUUCAAGAGUCUUCCGUUCACCAGUUUGUAGUUUUUUAUAAAUCAAAAUGCUGGCUAAAAGGAAGGCUAAAAGAGGCCAACCACCUCUCUCACAAUGAAGCAAAAUGACAUUUUGAUUGUUGCCAAGAGUAAGCCAACUCUCACAGAGACGAAGAAAAUGAUGGACAAGAGAUAAUGGAAGAAGGGGACAGCCUUCAUACUGUUUUGGGUAGUCCAUGACUGUGAUGUCAUACUCGCAUAAAAUUUCUGAGAAUUGGCUCCUUCUUUCACCUUCUCGGAAAUUGAAUGCAAGAAAGGAGGAUUCUGGGAAUUCUUCGUGUAAUUCGUUACUAAUUUCAUGCAAAUAAAGUUGGUAAAGUCCCUCUGGUAGAACUUCAGUUGAAAAGCAAGAAUCAAAAACUGCAAAUAAAAACAAAAACAAGAAUAUAGAGAGGUUAUUGUAAAGAAGAAAAAAAAACUAAUGAAAUGAAUUCUAGAUAGGAUUGCAAUUGUGGUUAAAUACCAUAUAUUCUAUCCACAAGCUCAAGCAAGCCAUCAGGUGGUCUUCUAUAGAAGAAUCUACUGAGAAGAGACAUGUCUCGUCAAAUGAAUAAACUGCUAUGUCGGAAUGAGCAAUAAUCUGAAAGAAAAAAGAGAUAAGUGUUAAUCAAGGCUACCAAUUUAUCUGUAGUGACCUAAUUCCCUUCAGUAACUCAACACAUGAAAACCACAGAUAAUUGAUAACAUAAGUGUUAAUCAAGGCUAAUACAGAACUUGUAACCAUAUCCCACGAAAAGCAUCUGUGAUGUUAUGUUUAGGGUCUCGAAUUUCAUGGCUACAUCAUUAAUAGGGACCAUUUAGCCUCGCAGUAACAGAUCACAGAUGUGACUAUUUUAUUAGAUUCUGAUACUGAAAUUGGGAAGGGAACCAAAUCAGUUCAGAACUUGUAACUAAAUGAGCUUCAAUUCCAUUCCAUACCUUGAAUUCCAACUCUCAAACGCUAAAUGGAAAGGGUUUUCACAAAGUAAAAGAAUAAAAAAGCGAACAGAUUACUGGGGAUUUAACAUACAAAGAUUCAAAACUAACCUCGUGGCUCCACUAAAGCUGAUUGAACGACACAGAUGAAUGAAAGAUGCUGCACCGGUCGCUCCUAGGGUGUCGCCGAUGGUGUUUCCGAUUGAAGGAUAGGGGUGUUUGUGUGAAAUCUGCACGGUGUUUGUGUGGUGCAUCUGAUGCGUUAAUUUGAAUUGAGGCUUUUCCCCUCUUUUCCAGAUUUUGAAAUCCUCUUGUUUAGUUUGGACUAUGCGACUUUGUCUGUUGUUUACAAAGAAAGAAGAGCCCUUUUCCACGUUUGGAUACUUUAUUGCAGGGUAAAUUGCUAUGUUUUAACAAAAUGAUAUAUUAGCUCAAACAAAAUAUUUUGAAUUUUUCUAUUUGGUCCUAAAAACUUUUUUUUAAUGUUUUAUGGGACAUAAAAUAAAUAUUCAACUGUUUUUUAUUUGUGACAGCUAUAUGAUAUAACAGAUUUUAUAAGUUACGUCAUUGUAUGUUUUUGGGAAAAUGAUUCUUCAGGAUAACUAAUUGUUGCGUUUGUUUUUAUUUUGUUCUUUCUUUUGUACUCGAUAUACCAUCGAACUUGUUGUUUGUAUUCACCAUAACCCUUUUGACCGGCUUUUGACCUAUGAUAGUCGGUCAAAAGGUUAUUGUGAACACAAACAACAAGUUCAAUGAUAUAUUGAAUACAAAAAAAAAAAAAAAAAAAAAAAAAAAAGGAAAGGGACCAAAUGAGAACAAACUCAAUAGUUGGUUACCCUUCUGAUGCAUUUUCCCCGAAAAGUUAAAUGAAAUUAAAGUUGCAAAAUUAUCAAAGAUUGCAACCUUCUUUGGCCAUAACGUAUAUAAAGAGCGUUUUAGAGGGGUAACUUCGUUAAAACAUUGUCUAUGUUAUGUUUACUAUGGUUAGUUGUCAACACCUCUCUGCAAAAGGAUAUGAAUGUGUAUGAGAGGUAUAUUUAUCAGCAUAAACGUUUACCUCAAGGUAUAUUAUGGUAAAGGCCGACAGAAGCAACCUUUCUUAGCGCGCUUUUCAAGCGCUUAGCUUCUGCUAUAAAAAGGCGGCAAGGCCAUAAAGUAAGUGAAGUUGCAAGCCUAAGCCAAGAAGGUACGAACGAAGUGACGGGCCCUUUUAGAGAGAGGGGGUGGCUUUCUUGUGGUAGUCAUUGCGAACAUCUCUCCUCUUCUCUUAGCGUGCACAGUUUGUUUACGCCUUAGGCACAUCUAUCUUUCUUAGUUUCACGCUGGCCUAAUGAAUUGAAUAUGAAUAAAAGUCAGUCUUUUAGUAAGCGUAUAUAAGCAGUUGUUUAGUGUAUAAGCAAUUCUUUAGUGGUCGCACCGGUACGAUGGAGGUUGGUUGAAGAUGGUGUUACGCGGCGUUCAGAACCAAUCUUGAAGUGAAUGAAUUAGAAAGAACGAAGAAGUAAGGUAAUCUAUUNACAAAACCUUAACUUCGCGGACUUUCCGAGGUAUAACCUUCGCCACGACAUUAGUGGCUUAGCUCUUCGCGCUUCCCGCAGGCUUUUUUUAUAGGGAGAGAGUCAGGGGGGCGGUACGGAAGAUUGGUCCGCUCCGCAAAGCUUAGCUUUUCGGUUCCCUCCCCCUAUGCGGUCGGCCUUAUUACCAGUCUGCCUCCUUUCUAUUGAUGGAAUAUAUCAAUACCCGAGCUCCUGCUUUCCUUGUGUUCUUCACCGGCGCUCGCCGGAUGUAUCACUCAUCCCGCUCCUAAGGUAAGGAGUCUUCUGUGUGUUAGAAUCUUUACGGGAAUGAAUCGCAUAUGUUGGUUGAGAAUUGCUCGGGAAUUCAUUGAUAAUGAUAAUGACUUUGCCAGGUUCUAGGGGGCUACUAUUCUUUUUUGUCGAUCGAGCCGCUCUCCCUCAUUCCACUCGUCCAGCCCUCUUCACGAACUUGUACAAUCGAUGCCACAGAGAUAGCCAACUCUAUUAUCGAAAAAAUAAGGAAAGGGGCGACGAUUUGGCACCAGAUAUCCGGAGGUGUGGAAAGAGCAGCUGUGAGAAGCGGAAAAACCAUCAA